UACGUAGGGUGCAAGCGUUGUCCGGAAUUAUUGGGCGUAAAGAGCUCGUAGGCGGUUCGUCGCGUCGGCUGUGAAAUCCCGAGGCUCAACCUCGGGUCUGCAGUCGAUACGGGCGGACUGGAGUUCGGCAGGGGAGACGUGGAAUUCCUGGUGUAGCGGUGAAAUGCGCAGAUAAUCAGGAGGAACACCGUGGCGAAGGCGGGUCUCUGGCCGAUACUGACGCUGAGGAGCGAAAGCGUGGGGAGCGA
rnacentral:rRNA from 1 species